AAACACUUCCCCCUCCUUCACUUUGCCAUUAGAUGUCUGCUGUGUUGCUGCCUAACACUUGAUCUGUAUUGUUCUUAUUUUCUUCCUGUGAUAAAGCUUCAAACACAAGAGCGAUAUCAGUUCCACGCCGCCAAAGGCUGGGAGUUUUCUGGAAGGGAAGGCUUGAGGCUAUUACUCUUCCCGUGACAACAACAUUUGCUCCCGUGUUCUGAGGAAAAUGGCCUUUCUGAAAACGAUUUAUCUCAAGGUCACCACCUUAGAAGCAGAGACAGAAAAUGGACCCCUCUGUCUGCAAUGGUAAAAUGGAAAUAAUAGAUCAUGGGAGGACCUCAUUCUGAGGAAUCCGCAGGCAGGGAGUCUCCUCUCCACCUUGACAUGAAUGUGCUCCGUGGGUCCUCAUAGACCUGGUGAGGACUCAAUGAAGUGACACCUGAAUGAGAGUAGCCAAGCCAGUCACUAACUAGAAAAAGAUCUGCGACUUGUUUUUUUACCAAAACGUUUAUGCACACUUCCCUUCAAGGAGGUACGGAACAAACAA
ensembl:antisense Gm32569 predicted gene, 32569